UUUUUUUAGGUCACUUUUUUAUAUUAUUUUUUAUUUUAUCGUUCAAAACUUGAUUCUUUUUAAAAUUAAACUUUUUUUUCCUUAUCUAUCUUCUAUUGAAUUAUCCUAUUCGUAUGAUCCUACUCGCAAGUUUUGACGACCUCAUCUAGUUUUGCUGGUGCUUUGUUUUUAAAUUAUUUUUUUCAUUGAUUUUUUUUAUUUCAUCAUUUUACAUUUUGAUUAUUAGGAAUUGACAAUCAUUAUUUUUUUCAAUUAUCUUUCUAUGAUGUCGAGUGAUAGAUUUUUUUUCUUCUUCAAAAUACAUUGGGUGUGCUUGAGAUUGUUUUUUUACAUUGAAAAAAAAUUACCACUGCAUGUGGCGAAGCGUGAGCCAACUAUCUCGUAAUAAACUAUUGUUAUUACCAUUAUUAUCACUAUUAGUAUUAUUAUUGUUGAUAUUAUUAGUAUCAUAAUAUUACAAUUACCAUUACUAUUACUAUUAUUGAAAUAAAAAAAUCAUAAACUUGAUUUGAAGGAUAAAAUAAAAAAUUAUAAAAACUUUGACAAAAAAAGCAAAGGAAAAAAAAAGAAAUCAAAAGAAGAAGAACCAAAUUGAAAUCAAUAUUAUUCUUAUCGGAAAAAAAAAUCAUAAACUUGAUUUGAAGGAUAAAACUGAAAAUCAUAAAAAAUUAACAAAAAAACAAAAGAAAGAAUAAAAAAUCAAAAAUAGAAGGACAAAAAUAGAAGGACCGAAUCGAAAGAAUUAUAUAUAUAUAUAUAUAUAUAAAUUUAACAAAAUCAAAAAAUAACAAAAAUCAAAACUAAAAAGAAUGAAUUCGACACCAACAACAAUGAUGAUUGAAGUUUAUUUUUUAGGGCAGGAGAGAGAAAUAAAAGGGAGAAAAAGAGUAACCGGUGACAAACCAAUCACUUUUAAAUGACAUGCGUUGCCUAAAAGGCACGACGUCUUCCACGCGUUCUAUUUAAAAAUUAUUAAUUAAAUAAUAAGUUAUGUUAUUGCCCUUAAUUAAACCAAUAAUUACAAAAAACCGAGAUAAAAAUACUUCAAUACCCCUAUUUCAAUGACUUAAAUGUUUUUGACCCUAAGGUCAUAUACAUAAUCUUAUUGUAUAUUAAAAAAUAAAAAGACAAAACACCGGUUGGCACGUCACUCGGCUCUUCGGCGUGCUUCGAUUGCAAACUAAAUUUGCCUUAGACGCAUGUCUCAGCAACACAAAAUGAGGGUUUCGCUCGUUAUAGGACUUGACCAAACAUCUCACGACACGAGCUGACGACAGCUAUGCAACACCUGUAUGAAAGUAAGUACCAUCCCGUUAAGGUUUUGUUGUUCAUAUGUCAAGGGUUGGUAAGGUUUUGCGCGUUGUAUCGAAUUAAACCAUAUGCUCCACCGCUUGUGCAGGCCCCCGUCAAUUCCUUUGAGUUUCAGUCUUGCGACCGUACUUCCCAGGCGAAGU
rnacentral:lncRNA from 1 species